CCUACGGGAGGCAGCAGUGGGGAAUAUUGGGCAAUGGGCGCAAGCCUGAACCAGCAAAGCCGCGUGAAGGAAGAAGGCUUUCGGGGUGGAAACUUCUUUUCUGAGGGACGAAGAAAGUGACGGUACCUCAGGAAUAAGCCACGGCUAACUACGUGCCAGCAGCCGCGGUAAUACGUAGGUGGCAAGCGUUCUCCGGAUUUAUUGGGUGUAAAGGGCGAGUAGGGGGGAAGGCAAGUCAGAUGUGAAAACUAAGGGGUUAACCCUGGGCCUGCAUUUGACACUGUUUUUCUUGAGUGCUGGAGAGGCAGGCGGAAUUCGGGGUGUAGCGGUGAAAUGCGUAGAUAUACGGAGGAACACCAGUGGCGAAGGCAGAUUGCUGGACAGUAACUGACGCUGAGGCGCGAAAGCGUGGGGAGCAAACAGGAUUAGAUACCCUUGUAGUC
rnacentral:rRNA from 1 species